CUACAGGCUUCUCUAGAAGCCAUCUCACAUCAUACACGCAUGUCUCG
rfam:Taeniopygia guttata chromosome 2, whole genome shotgun sequence.